rnacentral:rRNA from 1 species
CCUACGGGGGGCAGCAGUGAGGAAUAUUGGUCAAUGGGCGGAAGCCUGAACCAGCCAAGUCGCGUGAGGGAAUAAGGCCCUACGGGUCGUAAACCUCUUUUGCCGGGGAGCAAGGGCGGGGACGUGUCCCGGCCCGGAGAGUACCCGGAGAAAAAGCAUCGGCUAACUCCGUGCCAGCAGCCGCGGUAAUACGGAGGAUGCGAGCGUUAUCCGGAUUUAGUGGGUUUAAAGGGUGCGUAGGCGGGCUUUUAAGUCAGCGGUAAAAAUUCGGGGCUCAACCCCGUCCGGCCGUUGAAACUGGGGGCGUUGAGUGGGCGAGAAGAAGGCGGAAUGCGUGGUGUAGCGGUGAAAUGCAUAGAUAUCACGCAGAACCCCGAUUGCGAAGGCAGGCUUCCGGCGCCCUACUGACGCUGAGGCACGAAAGUGCGGGGAUCGAACAGGAUUAGAUACCCUGGUAGUC